rnacentral:rRNA from 1 species
AACGCUAGCUACAGGCUUAACACAUGCAAGUCGAGGGGCAGCAUGGUCUUAGCUUGCUAAGGCCGAUGGCGACCGGCGCACGGGUGAGUAACACGUAUCCAACCUGCCGUCUACUCUUGGACAGCCUUCUGAAAGGAAGAUUAAUACAAGAUGGCAUCAUGAGUCCGCAUGUUCACAUGAUUAAAGGUAUUCCGGUAGACGAUGGGGAUGCGUUCCAUUAGAUAGUAGGCGGGGUAACGGCCCACCUAGUCUUCGAUGGAUAGGGGUUCUGAGAGGAAGGUCCCCCACAUUGGAACUGAGACACGGUCCAAACUCCUACGGGAGGCAGCAGUGAGGAAUAUUGGUCAAUGGGCGAGAGCCUGAACCAGCCAAGUAGCGUGAAGGAUGACUGCCCUAUGGGUUGUAAACUUCUUUUAUAAAGGAAUAAAGUCGGGUAUGGAUACCCGUUUGCAUGUACUUUAUGAAUAAGGAUCGGCUAACUCCGUGCCAGCAGCCGCGGUAAUACGGAGGAUCCGAGCGUUAUCCGGAUUUAUUGGGUUUAAAGGGAGCGUAGAUGGAUGUUUAAGUCAGUUGUGAAAGUUUGCGGCUCAACCGUAAAAUUGCAGUUGAUACUGGAUAUCUUGAGUGCAGUUGAGGCAGGCGGAAUUCGUGGUGUAGCGGUGAAAUGCUUAGAUAUCACGAAGAACUCCGAUUGCGAAGGCAGCCUGCUAAGCUGCAACUGACAUUGAGGCUCGAAAGUGUGGGUAUCAAACAGGAUUAGAUACCCUGGUAGUCCACACGGUAAACGAUGAAUACUCGCUGUUUGCGAUAUACUGCAAGCGGCCAAGCGAAAGCGUUAAGUAUUCCACCUGGGGAGUACGCCGGCAACGGUGAAACUCAAAGGAAUUGACGGGGGCCCGCACAAGCGGAGGAACAUGUGGUUUAAUUCGAUGAUACGCGAGGAACCUUACCCGGGCUUAAAUUGCAGAUGAAUUACGGUGAAAGCCGUAAGCCGCAAGGCAUCUGUGAAGGUGCUGCAUGGUUGUCGUCAGCUCGUGCCGUGAGGUGUCGGCUUAAGUGCCAUAACGAGCGCAACCCUUGUUGUCAGUUACUAACAGGUUCCGCUGAGGACUCUGACAAGACUGCCAUCGUAAGAUGUGAGGAAGGUGGGGAUGACGUCAAAUCAGCACGGCCCUUACGUCCGGGGCUACACACGUGUUACAAUGGGGGGUACAGAGGGCCGCUACCACGCGAGUGGAUGCCAAUCCCCAAAACCUCUCUCAGUUCGGACUGGAGUCUGCAACCCGACUCCACGAAGCUGGAUUCGCUAGUAAUCGCGCAUCAGCCACGGCGCGGUGAAUACGUUCCCGGGCCU